rnacentral:tRNA from 1 species
GCUUAGUUGGUAGAGCACAAGGCUCUUAACUUUAUGGACGUGGGUUCGAGCCCCAU